rnacentral:rRNA from 1 species
GACGAACCGUGCGAACGUUAUUCGGAAUCACUGGGCUUAAAGGGCGCGUAGGCGGUAGGCCAAGUACGUGGUGAAAUCCUUCGGCUCAACCGGAGAAUGGCCUCGGAUACUGGUCUUCUAGAGGGAGGUAGGGGCAGCGGGAACUGCCAGUGGAGCGGUGAAAUGCGUUGAUAUUGGCAGGAACGCCGGUGGCGAAAUAGCCCUGCGGGACCGCUUAUGACGUUGAGGCGCGUAAGCUAGGGGAGCAAACGGG